UACCUGCAGCUCGAGUGGUAACCGCUAUUAUUGGGCCUAAAGCGUCCGUAGCCGGUUUGGUAAAUAUCUGGGUAAAUCGUGAGGCUUAACUUCACGAAUUUCGGAUAGACUGCCAGACUUGGGAUCGGGGGAGGUCAGAGGUACUCCAGGGGUAACGGUGAAAUGUUGUAAUCCUUGGAGGACCACCGGUAGCGAAGGCGUCUGACUAGAACGAGUCCGACGGUGAGGGACGAAGCCCUGGGGCGCAAACCGGAUUAGAUACCCGGGUAGUCCAGGGUGUAAACUAUGUGGGCUUUGUAUUGGAGGUCCCACGUGGGCGUCCAGUGCAGAAGAGAAGUUGUUAAGCCCACCGCCCGGGAAGUACGGUCGCAAGGCUGAAACUUAAAGGAAUUGGCGGGGAGCACAGCAACGGGAGGAGCGUGCGGUUU
rnacentral:rRNA from 1 species